AUGCCUAGGAAUCUGCCUGGUAGUGGGGGACAACGUUUCGAAAGGAACGCUAAUACCGCAUACGUCCUACGGGAGAAAGCAGGGGACCUUCGGGCCUUGCGCUAUCAGAUGAGCCUAGGUGGGAUUAGCUAGUUGGUGAGGUAAUGGCUCACCAAGGCUACGAUCCGUAACUGGUCUGAGAGGAUGAUCAGUCACACUGGAACUGAGACACGGUCCAGACUCCUACGGGAGGCAGCAGUGGGGAAUAUUGGACAAUGGGCGAAAGCCUGAUCCAGCCAUGCCGCGUGUGUGAAGAAGGUCUUCGGAUUGUAAAGCACUUUAAGUUGGGAGGAAGGGCAGUAAGCUAAUACCCUGCUGUUUUGACGUUACCGACAGAAUAAGCACCGGCUAACUCUGUGCCAGCAGCCGCGGUAAUACAGAGGGUGCAAGCGUUAAUCGGAAUUACUGGGCGUAAAGCGCGCGUAGGUGGUUUGUUAAGUUAGAUGUGAAAGCCCCGGGCUUAACCUGGGAACUGCAUCCAAAACUGGUUGGCUAGAGUCUUGUAGAGGGUGGUGGAAUUUCCUGUGUAGCGGUGAAAUGCGUAGAUAUAGGAAGGAACACCAGUGGCGAAGGCGACCACCUGGACUGAGACUGACACUCAGGUGCGAAAGCGUGGGGAGCAAACAGGAUUAGAUACCCUGGUAGUCCACGCUGUAAACGAUGUCGACAUAGCCGUUGGGA
rnacentral:rRNA from 1 species